rnacentral:rRNA from 1 species
ACGGAAGGCAGCAGUGGGGGAUAUUGCACAAUGGGGGGAACCCUGAUGCAGCGACGCCGCGUGAGCGAAGAAGAUCUUCGGAUUGUAAAGCUCUGUCUUAGGGGACGAUAAUGACGGUACCCUGAGAGGAAGCCACGGCUAACUACGUGCCAGCAGCCGCGGUAAUACGUAGGUGGCAAGCGUUGUCCGGAAUUACUGGGUGUAAAGGGAGCGCAGGCGGGUCGACAAGUUGGAAGUGAAAAUUACGGGCUCAACUCGUAAACUGCUUUCAAAACUGCCGAUCUCGAGUGGUGUAGAGGUAGGCGGAAUUCCCGGUGUAGCGGUGGAAUGCGUAGAUAUCGGGAGGAACAUCAGUGGCGAAGGCGGUUUACUGGACGACAACUGACGCUGAGACACGAAAGCGUGGGGAGCAAACAGGAUUAGAUACCCUGGUA